rnacentral:rRNA from 1 species
GAUUAACGCUGGCGGCGUGCAUAACACAUGCAAGUCGAACGAUGAAACUUAGUAGACUUCUUCGGAAAGACACUAAGCGGAUUAGUGGCGAACGGGUGAGUAACGCGUGAGUAACCUGCCUUACACAAGGGGAUAGCCUUUGGAAACGAAGAAUAAUACCCUAUAAAACCAUAAAAGCACAUGCUAGAAUGGUCAAAGUGAUAGCGGUGUAAGAUGGACUUGCGGCUGAUUAGCUAGUUGGUGAGAUAAAAGCUCACCAAGGCAACGAUCAGUAGCCGGCUUGAGAGCGUGUACGGCCGGAUUGAGACUGAGACACGACCCAGACUCCUACGAGAGGCAGCAGUUGGGAAUUAUGCACAAUGGGGGUAACCCAGAUGCAGCGACGCCGCGUGAUUUAGAAGGCCUUCGGAUUGUAAAAAUCUUUUGUAUAGGAAGAAAAUGACAGUACUAUACGAAGAAGGUCCGGCUAAUUACGUG